rnacentral:rRNA from 1 species
GCGAGUGAAGCGGGAAGAGCUCAAAAUUUGUAAUCUGGCACUUUCAGUGUCCGAGUUGUAAUCUCGAGAAGUAUUUUCCGCGCCGGACCGCAUACAAGUCUGUUGGAAUACAGCGUCAUAGUGGUGAGAACCCCGUAACUGAUGCGGAUGCCCGGUGCUUUGUGAUAUACUUUCGAAGAGUCGAGUUGUUUGGGAAUGCAGCUCAAAUUGGGUGGUAAAUUCCAUCUAAAGCUAAAUAUUGGAGCAAGACCGAUAGCGAACAAGUACCGUGAGGGAAAGAUGAAAAGCACUUUGGAAAGAGAGUUAACAGUACGUGAAAUUGUUGGAAGGGAAACGCUUGAAGUCAGACUUGCUAUUCGGAGUUCAGCCGCAAGGUGUAUUCUUCGAUUUGCAGGCCAGCAUCAGUUUUUGGGGGUGGAAAAUCGUGGUUUGAAGGUAGCAGUUUCGGCUGUGUUAUAGCUUUCCACUGGAUUCAUCUUCGGGGACUGAGGAACGCAGUACGCUUUUUGCAAGGCUUUCGAGCUUUUCGUACUUAGGAUGCUGGUGGAAUGGCUUUAAACGACCCGUCUUGAACCACGGA